ACUGGGGUGGCAGAGCAUGGUAAAUUGCAUAAGGCCUAAGCCCUUAAAACCAGAGGUUCAAGUCCUCUCUCCAGUU
rnacentral:tRNA from 1 species